CAACUGAUGAGAAGAUCAAGUUAAACUACAGAAGGCUUGCACUGGAGGAUGCAUUGUCUGACGUGUUUCGCUUGAAACUAAGUUUCGUACAAGCUCAAAGGACUCCAUACACACAAGGGCAAUGUCGAAUCCGCGUUGAGGCUGGGGGCUUUCUUAUAGAAAUGAUUCACCAAGCAUAUCCAAUUUGAUGAAGGUGAUGAACGACGCAUAAAAUUUUGCUACAUGUGUGUCAAAAUCUAUAACUUACCAUCAUAAUGUACUGUGACCAGCUAUAGUUGUAUGACCUCUGAGGCCUUUAAGACAAGUAUUUCACUUUAAAUGUGCCCACACUUCAUUAUCAGAACUUUUCUGUAUGGUAUAUUAUGGCUUGCAUUUUUUUUUAAAUACAAUUAGUGGUUACUAUCUUAA